rnacentral:rRNA from 1 species
UAGGGAAUCUUGCGCAAUGGGCGAAAGCCUGACGCAGCAACGCCGCGUGGGGGAUGAAGGCCUUCGGGUUGUAAACCCCUUUCAGCAGGGACGAAAUUGACGGUACCUGCAGAAGAAGCACCGGCCAACUACGUGCCAGCAGCCGCGGUAACACGUAGGGUGCAAGCGUUGUCCGGAUUUAUUGGGCGUAAAGGGCUAGUAGGCGGCUUGGCAAGUCGGAUGUGAAAACUCCAGGCUCAACCUGGAGACGCCACUCGAUACUGCCAUGGCUAGAGUCCGGUAGGGGAGCACGGAAUUCCUGGUGUAGCGGUGAAAUGCGCAGAUAUCAGGAGGAACACCGGUGGCGAAGGCGGUGCUCUGGGCCGGAACUGACGCUGAAUAGCGAAAGCGUGGGUAGCAAACAGG